UACGGGGGGGGCAAGCGUUGUUCGGAAUUACUGGGCGUAAAGGGCUCGUAGGCGGCCAACUAAGUCGGAUGUGAAAUCCCCAGGCUUAACCUGGGAACUGCAUCCGAUACUGGAUGGCUUGAAUCCGGGAGAGGGAUGCAGAAUUCCAGGUGUAGCGGUGAAAUGCGUAGAUAUCAGGAGGAACACCAGUGGCGAAGGCGGUGCUCUGGGCCGGAACUGACGCUGAGGAGCGAAAGCGUGGGGAGCAAACAGG
rnacentral:rRNA from 1 species